rnacentral:misc_RNA from 1 species
GAUGAAGAACGUAGUAAAAUGCGAUAAGUAAUGUGAAUUGCAGAAUUCAGUGAAUCAUCGAAUCUUUGAACGCACAUUGCGCCCGCCAGUAUUCUGGCGGGCAUGCCUGUUCGAGCGUCAUUUCAACCCUCAAGCACAGCUUGGUGUUGGGACUCGCGUUAAUUCGCGUUCCUCAAAUUGAUUGGCGGUCACGUCGAGCUUCCAUAGCGUAGUAGUAAAACCCUCGUUACUGGUAAUCGUCGCGGCCACGCCGUUAAACCCCAGCUUCUGAAUGUUGACCUCGGAUCAGGUAGGAAUACCCGCUGAACUUAAGCAUAUCAAUAAGCGGAGGA